UGGGGAAUAUUGGGGCAAUGGGCGCAAGCCCGACCCAGCAACGCCGCGUGAAGGAAGAAGGCUUUCGGGUUGUAAACUUCUUUUGUCAGGGACGAGUAGAAGACGGUACCUGACGAAUAAGCCACGGCUAACUACGUGCCAGCAGCCGCGGUAAUACGUAGGGGGCAAGCGUUAUCCGGAUUUACUGGGUGUAAAGGGAGCGUAGACGGCAGGGCAAGUCAGAAGUGAAAGCCCGGGGCUCAACCCCGGGACUGCUUUUGAAACUGUCCGGCUGGAGUGCAGGAGAGGUAAGCGGAAUUCCUAGUGUAGCGGUGAAAUGCGUAGAUAUUAGGAGGAACACCAGUGGCGAAGGCGGCUUACUGGACUGUAACUGACGUUGAGGCUCGAAAGCGUGGGGAGCAAACAGGAUUAGAUACCCUGGUAGU
rnacentral:rRNA from 1 species